rnacentral:rRNA from 1 species
UACGUAGGUGACCAGCGUUGUCCGGAUUUACUGGGCGUAAAGAGCGCGCAGGCGGUCGUUCAAGUCGAGUGUGAAAGCCCCCGGCUCAACUGGGGAGGGUCAUUCGAUACUGAUCGACUGGAAGGCAGGAGAGGGAAGCGGAAUUCCCGGUGUAGUGGUGAAAUGCGUAGAUAUCGGAAGAACACCAGUGGCGAAGGCGGCUCACUGGUCCGGUACUGACGCUGAGGUGCGAAAGCGUGGGGAGCAAACAGG